UGCAACCAGGAGUCAAACUGAUUUAACUUCACUGUUUUUCGGCAUUUUAUUAUACGAGAAGGAAGCAGAAUUAAAGACUGUCUAUCCAUUUUCACUCCGAUUGUGACCCUACCAGCACUGAGAUGGACUAGGAAUUCACGUGUUUUUUACUCCUCGCCUGUAUAUCAAGUUGCUGGUGAUGAAGUCACAUUUGGAGGUUGGAUGAUCAGCAGUGAAAACAACAUCAUCUGUGAAGGAAAGAUGAAGCUGCGAGGACACUGGAGUUUGUUCAAAGAUGCUUCAUUGGUGUGAACCCUAAGAGGGGAACAAAAGCCAGGCAGGUGAGGUGUCCAAGAAGACAGGAAAGCUUGUCCAGAAAAAUGCAGCAAUGGAGUGCAGAGUGGCCACCCUCAUCAGAAACCUCAUGGACUUUGAGUGGGGCUUUCACAUUGUAUUCUGCAAUGUUGUGAUAUUUAUGUGACAUCACAGCAUUAUGUUUUA